rnacentral:rRNA from 1 species
YACGAUUCCUACGGGAGGCAGCAGCAGGGAAUAUUGCGCAAUGAGCGAAAGCUUGACGCAGCGACACCGCGUGUGGGAUGACGGAUCUAGGUUUGUAAACCACUUUCAGGAGGGAAGAAAAUGACGGUACCUCCACAAGAAGCCCCGGCCAACUACGUGCCAGCAGCCGCGGUAAUACGUAGGGGGCGAGCGUUGUCCGGAUUUAUUGGGCGUAAAGAGCUCGUAGGCGGUUCAACAAGUCGGUCGUAAAAGUUCAGGGCUCAACCCUGAAAUGUCGAUCGAUACUGUUGUGACUAGGAUACGGUAGAGGUGAGUGGAAUUCCGAGUGUAGCGGUGAAAUGCGUAGAUAUUCGGAGGAACACCAAUUGCGAAGGCAGCUCACUGGGCCGCUAUCGACGCUGAGGAGCGAAAGCUAGGGGAGCAAACAGGAUUAGAUACCCUGGUAGUCCUAGCUGUAAACGAUGGAUACUAGACGUAGGAACUGGAUUGACGGUUUCUGUGUCGUAGCUAACGCGUUAAGUAUCCCGCCUGGGGAGUACGGUCGCAAGACUAAAACUCAAAGGAAUUGACGGAAU